UUUAGCUUCUUGCUGCUGACAGUUGCUCUCCUGGCUUCUUACUCAGUCCAUCUUCUGCUUAGUAUGUGUAUUCAGACAGCUGUAACAUCUUAUGAAGAUCUUGGACUCUUUGCAUUUGGAUUACCUGGAAAGUUGGUGGUGGCAGGCACCAUAAUAAUUCAGAAUAUUGGAGCUAUGUCAUCUUAUCUUUUAAUUAUUAAAACAGAGCUUCCUGCUGCUAUUGCAGAAUUUUUGACUGGAGACUAUAGUAGAUAUUGGUAUCUUGAUGGACAAACACUACUAAUAAUCAUAUGUGUUGGCAUUGUGUUCCCUCUUGCACUUCUUCCCAAAAUAGGCUUUCUUGGCUACACAAGUAGUUUAUCAUUUUUCUUUAUGAUGUUCUUUGCUCUUGUGGUAAUAAUUAAAAAAUGGUCCAUCCCUUGUCCUCUGACAUUAAAUUAUGUAGAGAAAGGUUUCCAGAUUUCAAAUGUUACAGAUGAUUGUAAGCCAAAGCUCUUUCAUUUCUCCAAAGAGAGUGCUUAUGCCUUACCAACCAUGGCUUUUUCAUUUCUCUGCCAUACCUCAAUAUUGCCCAUAUACUGUGAACUUCAAAGUCCUUCAAAGAAAAGAAUGCAGAAUGUUACCAAUACAGCAAUUGCUUUAAGUUUUCUCAUUUAUUUUAUAUCUGCACUCUUUGGGUACCUCACUUUUUAUGACAAAGUGGAGUCAGAAUUACUAAAAGGUUAUAGUAAAUACUUAUCACAUGAUGUUGUUGUCAUGACUGUGAAGUUAUGCAUACUAUUUGCUGUGCUUUUGACAGUCCCUCUAAUCCACUUCCCUGCCAGAAAAGCUGUAACAAUGAUGUUUUUCUCCAAUUUUCCAUUCUCAUGGAUUCGCCAUUUUUUGAUCACUCUAGCACUCAAUAUUAUCAUCGUUUUACUUGCAAUAUAUGUUCCUGACAUUAGAAAUGUAUUUGGUGUAGUUGGUGCCAGUACAUCAACAUGUUUGAUUUUUAUAUUCCCAGGACUAUUUUAUCUUAAACUUAGCAGAGAGGAUUUUCUGUCAUGGAAAAAGCUUGGGGCAUUCGUUUUGCUCAUCUUUGGAAUUUUGGUUGGGAAUUUUAGUUUAGCACUCAUCAUUUUUGAUUGGAUUAAUAAAUAAAAGAAAUAUUUUCCUACUUCUUACAAGAAUAAUAUACCCCUAGUUGCAAGAAUGAAUUAUUCCGGAAGACACCCUGGAUGAAAAAUAACAUUUUAAUAAAAAUUAUUAACA
rnacentral:lncRNA from 1 species